rnacentral:rRNA from 1 species
UACGGAGGGGGCAAGCGUUGUCCGGACUUACUGGGCGUAAAGGGUGCGUAGGCGGCCUGCUGCGUCGGUGCUGAAAGCGCCCGGCUUAACCGGGCGAGGCGUGCCGAUACGAGCGGGCUGGAGCCUUGGCGAGGGUGGCGGAACUUCCGGUGGAGCGGUGAAAUGUGUUGAUAUCGGAAGGAACGCCGGUGGCGAAAGCGGCACACUGGAUCUCAACUGACGCUGAGGCACGAAAGCCAGGGGAGCGAACGGG